UGAGGAAUAUUGGUCAAUGGGCGCAUGCCUGAACCAGCCAAGUCGCGUGAGGGACGACGGCCCUACGGGUUGUAAACCUCUUUUGCCGGGGAGCAAGGCUUUCCACGCGUGGGGAGCCGGAGAGUACCCGGAGAAAAAGCAUCGGCUAACUCCGUGCCAGCAGCCGCGGUAAUACGGAGGAUGCGAGCGUUAUCCGGAUUUAUUGGGUUUAAAGGGUGCGUAGGCGGGAUGCCAAGUCAGCGGUAAAAUCGCGGGGCUCAACCCCGCUCCGCCGUUGAAACUGGCGUUCUUGAGUGGGCGAGAAGUAUGCGGAAUGCGUGGUGUAGCGGUGAAAUGCAUAGAUAUCACGCAGAACUCCGAUUGCGAAGGCAGCAUGCCGGCGCCCAACUGACGCUGAAGCACGAAAGCGUGGGUAUCGAACAGG
rnacentral:rRNA from 1 species